rnacentral:rRNA from 1 species
CCUACGGGAGGCAGCAGUGGGGAAUAUUGGGCAAUGGGCGCAAGCCUGACCCAGCAACGCCGCGUGAAGGAAGAAGGCUUUCGGGUUGUAAACUUCUUUUCUCAGGGACGAAGCAAGUGACGGUACCUGAGGAAUAAGCCACGGCUAACUGCGUGCCAGCAGCCGCGGUAAUACGUAGGUGGCAAGCGUUAUCCGGAUUUACUGGGUGUAAAGGGCGUGUAGGCGGGAAAGCAAGUCAGAUGUGAAAACCAUGGGCUCAACCUGUGGCCUGCAUUUGAAACUGUUUGUCUUGAGUACUGGAGAGGCAGACGGAAUUCCUAGUGUAGCGGUGAAAUGCGUAGAGAUUAGGAGGAACACCAGUGGCGAAGGCGGUCUGCUGGACAGCAACUGACGCUGAGGCGCGAAAGCGUGGGGAGCAAACAGGAUUAGAUACCCCUGUAGUC